GCACGACGCGAUGAGAGAGGAUGUUAGAACACAGGAGGAGACGUGCAUUUCUCUCUCUGACAAUUCGUUUUCAAUGAAUUUUCAUUUAUGCUGCUUGCUAAAGAGGGUGAACCCACGUCUUGUGUAAUUGUAAGACUUGUGAUAAUUACAACACCAGCGGCUGGUGUUUCUUUAGGGAUUAAUUACAGACGUGUAACAACGUCUUUAUUUAAGAAACUUCCUCAUGGUGGUGAAAACUUUUGUUAUUUUCAUUUCAUGUGCCAUUACUUGAGUGCUUUGCUGCCUUGCUGAAUGGUAGAAUCCGUAAUUCAGGCUUCAUUAGUUUUUUUGUUUACUGGGUCCUUUCAUAAAAUGAAACAAACAUAAGCUGACUAAUGGUCACUUCUCUGUUUCCUCAAAGGCAGCUGAGCUUUUUAGCUUUCUAAAGAGGCUACGUUUGCCUGGGUCUGUGUAUAUCCUGGGAAUGCAGUUGAGAAGGGUAAAUUAUUUCUUUUUUGAAAAUGGCUCACUGGGAUGCUUGAAUAAGACAGAGCCACUGUUAAUGUUAUAAGUAACCCCAGUGCUUUUGAUGAGACUCUUGUUAAAAUGACUUAUGACAAUGUGAAUGUGGCUUUGACAUGUUUUAUAAUUGACUCAAUUUGCACAGGAAGCUUACAUAUCAGAAAACAUCAAACAUGUUCGUUACAAACGUUUUUUAAAUUCAUGUCAUCAAAAACUUAUAUCCAUAUUUAUGUUAUAUCCAAGUGUGUCUUCCACUGUACUCUAUCUGGCAGCAUCACAGCAUUUGGCUGUGUAAUGUGACUAUACACACUUCUACAGAGUCAUUGGAAAGUCACAGCCAUGUGCACGGGGCAUUGCUGAGGGCGGUGAUUGUGCAGUUGUGACAUUACAACCUUAAAGUCGUGUGCGUAUGAUGACUUGAAUAUGACACGUUCGGCACAUCGCUGGCUCGCCGACUGACACCUGAGUCCCGGACAUCAGACGUGUGCCAUCACAGCCAUCGAGGCAAAAUGUUCUUGUGCCUGUAAAACAUUUUGUAAGUUAAAAAGGUCUUCAAAGUCCAAGCCAGCAGAAGCUCCCCUCUCCUAUAGAAAACACUGCUCCUGAAACGCCUCGUCGGUAGUCCGCGACUUUUUGACAUCACACCGCGUCAUCAUGUCACACAUUUGCAUUUGCAUGCUAUACUUCUCCAGGCUUGACAUAUCUGAGAGGGCGACAAUCUCUCAACGCUUAAUUAUGGCUCCAUCAGUCACGAACCCAGCCCGACCACACUGCUAUUCCAGAG